GACGAACGCUGGCGGCGUGCUUAACACAUGCAAGUCGAACGGAAAGGCCCUGCUUUUGUGGGGUGCUCGAGUGGCGAACGGGUGAGUAACACGUGAGUAACCUGCCCUUGACUUUGGGAUAACUUCAGGAAACUGGGGCUAAUACCGGAUAGGAGCUCCUGCUGCAUGGUGGGGGUUGGAAAGUUUCGGCGGUUGGGGAUGGACUCGCGGCUUAUCAGCUUGUUGGUGGGGUAGUGGCUUACCAAGGCUUUGACGGGUAGCCGGCCUGAGAGGGUGACCGGCCACAUUGGGACUGAGAUACGGCCCAGACCCCUACGGGAGGCAGCAGUGGGGAAUAUUGCACAAUGGGCGGAAGCCUGAUGCAGCAACGCCGCGUGCGGGAUGACGGCCUUCGGGUUGUAAACCGCUUUCGCCUGUGACGAAGCGUGAGUGACGGUAAUGGGUAAAGAAGCACCGGCUAACUGCGUG
rnacentral:rRNA from 1 species